AACAAAUUGAAAUAGUAAACAAUGAUGCUACACGAUUGUUCCUUAUAUUGUGAAAAGAAAAAAUAUUUUACCUGUGUGAUAAUUAUUUUUGCUGUUUUAGCAGGUUUAAAAUCAGGAUCAGGAAAUUCAGUCUCCAAUAUUCAAACAGAAAUCAUUGGAUCAGAAUCUACUGCAGUGACAAUUUAUUGCAACUACUCAGCAAGUGACAUCAGUGUGUAUCUCUUUUGGUACAGAAUGUAUCCUAACCAAACAAUGCAAUAUAUUUUAACCAAAGGAGCCCGUUCUGCCAGUAGUUAUGAACAUGCUGCAGAUUUUUAUAAGGAACGUUUUUCUUCAAGAGCAGGACAAGAUUUCACUGAACUCACAGUUUCGGGUCUAACUUUGAGUGACUCUGCCGUCUACUAUUGUGCACUGAGUCUCACUGCGUUGCUUUCUCCUCACGCACUGAACAAAAAUCAUAGACUGCCAAUAUGACAGUAUGGUAUACCACUUACUAACAUCUGACGUUGAACUUACUGAUAUGUAUUAUGGAAUCUGCACACAAAAUGAUAUAAUAGUGAAUUAUGGUAAUAAAUUCAAUUAGAAGUCAAG